GCAGUCAGCAGGGUUUAUGAACAUCAGCUGUUCGACCUGUUAGUCAAAUGCGUGCUGUUAAAAUAAACAUUUUACUUUUUUUGUCUUUUGGAAAAUGGUGGUUGUGCUGUAUUUAGACCCCUGUAUCAAGAAAUUUGUUUUACAUGCACAUGUAUAAAAAUUGCAUUUUUUUUCAAACACAAUCACAGGAUUGAAUGUUGUUUUCAAUUUAAACUUGUAUUUAUAUACAUGAGAUAUAGUAUAAUUGACAAUAUGACAACUAUACAUCUGUUCUUUUAUGUACAUUUUGACUUUUGUUUGACAACUGAUUUAGGCUUAAAGAAGGGAAGGGUUGAGAUAUGAAAAACCAUCAAAUGUUCUUGUAUGAGUUCAAGAACCUUGUCUGUAUCAGUGGAUUUUCUGCUGAUGGCAAAUAAGUCCAUCACAUUUAUUCACUCCUUUGCUCAAUGCCAUUCCGAGAUUGCUGUCUUGUGUAGACACCCUUCUAUUACUUAAGUCCUUAGAGAUGUUUAUCCAAAGAAGUAUUUGUUGUUGUCUAAUUGAUAUUUGACGAAAAAAAAACAACUUUUAUAUGAACUUAGAUUAACACUCUUUUUUUCUCAUAGCACUCCGUGCCAGCAUUUACUAGUUCACUAGCUGUGACUAUUAAAAUUUGAUUUGGGCAUGUGGAAAUAAUUUUGGUUAAAUAAAUUGAAGCAUUUUCUUGAAAUAAGCUUUCCAGAGAGUAGGUAUAAAAGUUUUAUGCAAAGGCUGUAAUAAAUGUCUUAUAUAAGGUAAACUCUAUAUUUAAACUAUUCUAAUACACUUAAAUCCAGUGAAAAUCAUCUUUUAAUAAAUAUAAAAUAGAAUUGAGAAUUGAAAUGGGGAAUGUGUUAAAGAGGUAACAACUCCACCAAAGAGCAGUAAACAGCCAAAGACCACUGAUGGGUCCUCAUGCCAGAGAGAAAAUCCUGUUCCUAGAGGCAGGCUUCAGAUACAUGCAUCAGACAAGAAAACAAGCUACAUGAGUUUACAUUUCUUUUAUUUUUUUCAAGUCUAUACAAAUAGGCUUUUUUAAAAAUCAAAAGCUGAAUAAAAAUGUACAAGAUUCUGAAUUCAUGCAUAUAUGUUGAACAGUCGGCAUAAAAAUGGCAGUUGCAAGGAAAUAUCUCUUGCUGUGUUGGACGGUUUGUUUGUUUGAUUAAGGCACUAUAGAAGGUUCUGUAAAGGGAUUUUCUUUAAAAAAAAAAAAGGAUUUGGAAAAUAAUAAAAAGAAAUGCCCAAAUAUAUGACUUCAUACCAAUAUCUGAAGCAAAUUAUUUAUUUUAUCAUGAUUCUUAACAUGUUAUAAAAUUUACCCAAUUUGGUCCACAAUACUGCUAGUUUUUGUACAUUAUAAAUUAAACAUUGAAUUAUUUUCAAUAAGAGAACUAUUUUACAAUCAAAACUGCAAUAACAUUGAUGGUAAAGUUCCAAGAACAUAAUUGAAAUGUUUGAUUCUUUAUCAAUCCCUUUUACAGAACCUUUUUGUGGCAGUGGUUAAUUUUGAAAACGAAUGGUGUUUGAGCAAAAUUAAUGAAAAAAAUUGACAUUGAAUUAAAUGUAAGGAGACAUAGUUGCCUUAUAUUAUUUUACAUAAUAAUACUUUUCCAAUAUCAUUUAAGUAUGCCAAGAAAAAAUGCUGAUGUUGAAGAGAAUGCUGCAGGCAUACAAACAUACGAGGGACAAACAGGAUGUGUGUAAAGUACAUUCACUGUUGUACUAUGCAUGAAAAAGUAAAUAUAUUAUAGACAUGAUAAUCAAAUAAUAUACUUCAUUGUAUUUGCUGGAUACCAAUUAUCUGCCCAAAACACAAAAUUUCCAUUUAUUUUAUCAAUUUCUAAACAGUAAAUAGUGAGAAAAAUCGGUAAUCAUAUAAUAUUUUCUGUUAACUGUGAUGGCUGGUACCCAACAUUUCAAAGCUUAUUCCACGUCAACUUGUAUAAGUUUGAUUUAAAUAUCAUUUUCUGUAAAAAUUGAAAUAUAUGUAGAUGUAGAUAAAAAUUUGGAUUCAUAUAUAUUUAUAUAGAUUCUGACAGGGAAAAAAAACUAAGUGGUAGUAACUUCAUAAUAGAGAAAUUUUGAAGGUAAGGGUACAUCACAUUUAAGAACAGAAUAAUCUGUAAUAAAUAGUGUGUUCUCAAGAUCCUUUUCAAGAAGUAUCUAUUAAUCUAAAAUAUGAUUUUGUUUCUGGUAGACAAUUAUGUAUUUUUUUACUAUAAUGGUAAUGUCCAUGUCUGUUUUUCUUUAAAAGGUCAUUUCAUAAAUUUUGAUUUAUAUGAUGCUUAGUUUCAACAAUGGAUGUACAUUAUAGAGAUAUUUUAUUUAUAUGAGAAAGAGGUUUAUUUAAAAAAUUUUAAAAUUUAUAUAACACAAUAUUGAUCUUAAAAUUAAUUACAAAUGCAUGUUACCAAUAACUCAACAUAAUGAACAUGUAUUUUAAACAUAGGAAACUUUUAUACUUUAUGAAAAUAAAAGAUGAACUGCUGAUCCAAAUUUGAAAGUACUGCAAAACAUUCAGUUGAUGUCGUCUUUACAGACUUAAAAAAUUGCCAAAAAUUUAAGCCAAGGGAUGACAAUAUCAAAAUAAUACUUCACACUGGCUGAAGUUGACUUAUAAAAUAUGAACAAAUAAUGCCAUGGUAUAUUGAUGUUUUGAUGCUUGAGUAUACCAACCACUAAAGAAAAAAAAUACAAAAAAAACUGUAAUAAAAAAAAUAUCAAUGCCAAUUCAAAAAUAUAUAUAAAGUAUAUGAGCUAAAACAGCUGACAGAAAUGUAACGGUGGGAAGGAAUGUUUAUUGUUUUCACCUUGAUUAAAUUCAUUCAUAACUAAAUUUACAUUUUAAUAAUAUUCUCUUGCAUAAUUUUGAUACAUUUGAACAAAUUAUUUGUAAAUCAAUAAACUAGCAGUAUCAAAUAAGAUAUAAUAUACAUACAAAAAAAUCAGUCUUGGUCCAAUUAUAUAACUUGUUCGUCUUUAAUAAGCAUGGAUGUAAAUAAUACAAUUAAUAAACUAUUGACAGAGAUUUAUCUCCCCUGUUGGCAAAAUUCAGGAAAAAAGAUCUAACAUUGCUUAUCAAUUCAAAAGUUAAAAUAAUAACAAUUGAAAAAUUGCUAAUUAAAUUCAAAGUCACUUGACAAUGAACUAGGAUGAUUUUUGUUAUUGAAAGGACUUCAGCUAGGCUGAAACAUUUUUCGGUGUGAUCCCUUCUACUAUUUAAUGAAACAAUCAGAUAGAAUGUGUGGUGAUGUAAUGUUUGUGCCCUAAAAUUUAUAAUCAAAAUAUAAAUUUCAGAAUUUUUUUUUUAGGACUCCUGCAUACCAAAAUUAAUUAAUAACCAGCUUUAUAGUACAUAUAGUACAAUCAUUUUAAAAUAAAAGCAUAAAAAAAACAAACUAUGACAUUACAAAGUUGAUUUUUUUCUCUCUUGUAAUUUCAAGUAAAAUGUAUUUGUAUAAAAAAAAAAAACAGAAGUUUUUUCUUUUUUUAAUUUGUUCAAUAUUAAAAAUAAAAUAUAUCAAAAGAGAAAAUAUACUUAUGCUAAGCAAAAUCAAAGGAAAUUUAUCUCCAAAAAUUCUAAGCAAAUUUAGAUACAUUACUUAUUAAUCAGAAAUCCUUUUUAGAGUCUAUAAAUAAAACAAUAACCAUCUAUGUUUCUUUCUCGUAUAUUUAAAAGCAUGAACUUUGUGAGUUGAUCGAGUGAGAAGUUCUAUAUUUCGAACUACAUAUAUGUUGAGAUUUUUUUUGAAUAAAAUUAUGCCACAGUUUGAGACUUAAACAACAAAAUGUAAAAAUUUGUUCAAAAUAUAUAAACAUUUGUACAAUAUAUUUACAAAAUUUACAUAACAUCAGUGUUUUCCCUAGAGGGUUUAUGCAUGGUGGUACCCCAUGCAUUAAUUUAGGCCCCCAUCCUUCAAAUCUUGAAAUUCUUUAUUACUCUAUACAAGUCCCCAUCCUUCAAAAUUCAAGCCCACCAUCCAUUCAGCCAAUCCCACCAUCCUUCAAAACAUUUCUAGGGAAAACACUGAACAUUAUAUAUAUAGUCAUAAGCAAAUAUAUCAGGCAGUUCAAUAUCUGGCAAAACCAAUAUUGUGUAUAAAUGCAUAAAAUUCAUAACAGAAUACUUUUGGUCCCAAAUACACUAUAAAAAUGAAUCUAAAAAAGUUUAAAAAUUGGAAUUUAUACUGUUACAAUAUUAAUAAGUUGGAAAAAAACCCCAACAAAAUGUUAAUGCGAUAUAUGAUUUAAUAAUAUGGGAUUUAUUAAUACCAAAUUAUGAAAUGUCAUAUAAAAAUGGAAUAUUGAAGACUUUUAACAAAUAAUAAAAUGCACAAAUGCCAACUUGAAUUAAUAAUAUACUAAAUCAAGGCUAUCUUGCCAAUAUUGUGACUCAAUGAUGUGGAAAAUGACCAACAAGGUAACAAAUGUCAUUGUGAUUCCUCGAGCCUCUUUUUAAAAAUGUUCAGAUGUCUGCCCAACAACUCAAUUACAAUGUGCCUUACAUGGUGCACGUGAUUCUAAGUAGGUAUUGAAAGAAUAUGGUAUUAAAUUGACUUAUUUUAGUGCCCUUUCAUACAUUUUUUCAUUCUGAAAUUUAAUGUGUACAAUUUUUAUUGAAAAUCAAGGGCAACAUACCCUUCUAAUCAGAGCUUGUUAACAGCAAAGUUAGGAACAGAGGGCGACUAUAGGGCGACAUAGUUGCUCACUUUGCCUAGUAAAGUGACCCCAGAACUCCUUAUACCAAUACACCAUUAUUACAAUUUUUAAAAGUAAAAAUGCUCAAAAUUGGAUUCUUAUUAAUAUUCCAUAUUGAUGUAAGAUCAAGCCAAAAAAACAGAAUUUAUAUUCUAAAAUUAAUUAAACAGGUAUCAAAAUUUCUUUGUAAAUCACUAAGAACCUAGGGUGUUAGGUCUAAUGGUGUAAUUUUCAAUGCAAUAUGUAUUUCAUCUCUUCAGUCAAUUCUAAUAUCUAUAAAUUUACAGAAAGCUUAGAAAAACAAAAAAAGAAAACUGUUGUAAAUUUUUGCUUAUUUCAAAUUUUAAUUUUGAAUGUAAAACUACUGGGAUUUCCUAUUCACUAUUGGAUAUUUA
rnacentral:lncRNA from 1 species